GUUGUAUGGUUAAGUGACUAAGCGUACAUGGUGGAUGCCUUGGCAGUCAGAGGCGAUGAAGGACGUACUAACCUGCGAUAAGCUGUGAGAAGUCGGUAAGAGACGCUAUUACUCACAGAUUUCCGAAUGGGGAAACCCACCCGAGAUAACUCGGGUAUCUGUUACUGAAUACAUAGGUAACAGAGGCGAACCGGGAGAACUGAAACAUCUAAGUACCCCGAGGAAAAGAAAUCAACCGAGAUUCCCUCAGUAGCGGCGAGCGAACGGGGAUUAGCCCUUAAGCAUCUUGGAAGUUAGUGGAACGGUCCUGGAAAGGCCGGCGAUACAGGGUGAUAGCCCCGUACACGAAAACAACCUUGAUGUGAAAUCGAGUAGGGCGGGACACGUGACAUCCUGUCUGAAUAUGGGGGGACCAUCCUCCAAGGCUAAAUACUCCUGACUGACCGAUAGUGAACCAGUACCGUGAGGGAAAGGCGAAAAGAACCCCUGUGAGGGGAGUGAAAUAGAACCUGAAACCGUGUACGUACAAGCAGUGGGAGCCCUUCGGGGUGACUGCGUACCUUUUGUAUAAUGGGUCAGCGACUUACAUUUUGUAGCGAGGUUAACCGUAUAGGGGAGCCGUAGGGAAACCGAGUCUUAACUGGGCGUCUAGUUGCAAGGUGUAGACCCGAAACCGGGUGAUCUAGCCAUGGGCAGGUUGAAGGUUGAGUAACAUCAACUGGAGGACCGAACCCACUAACGUUGCAAAGUUAGGGGAUGACCUGUGGCUGGGGGUGAAAGGCCAAUCAAACUCGGAGAUAGCUGGUUCUCCCGAAAGCUAUUUAGGUAGCGCCUCGGACGAAUACUACUGGGGGUAGAGCACUGUUUGGGCUAGGGGGUCAUCCCGACUUACCAACCCCAUGCAAACUCCGAAUACCAGUAAGUAAUAUCCGGGAGACACACGGCGGGUGCUAACGUCCGUCGUGAAGAGGGAAACAACCCAGACCGCCGGCUAAGGUCCCAAAGUUCUGGUUAAGUGGGAAACGAUGUGGGAAGGCUCAGACAGCUAGGAUGUUGGCUUAGAAGCAGCCAUCAUUUAAAGAAAGCGUAAUAGCUCACUAGUCGAGUCGGCCUGCGCGGAAGAUGUAACGGGGCUCAAACCAGGCACCGAAGCCGCGGAUUUGCACUUAGUGCAAGUGGUAGGGGAGCGUUCUGUAAGUCUGCGAAGGUGUAUCGAGAGGUAUGCUGGAGAUAUCAGAAGUGCGAAUGCUGACGUAAGUAACGAUAAAGGGGGUGAAAAGCCUCCUCGCCGGAAGACCAAGGGUUCCUGUCCAACGUUAAUCGGGGCAGGGUGAGUCGACCCCUAAGGCGAGGCCGAAAGGCGUAGUCGAUGGGAAGCAGGUUAAUAUUCCUGCACGACUUGUAAUUGCGAUGGGGGGACGGAGAAGGCUAGGUGGGCCAGGCGACGGUUGUCCUGGUGAAAGUGCGUAGGUGGUGUUUCUAGGCAAAUCCGGAGACACAACACUGAGACACGAGACGAACACACUACGGUGUGGAAGCCAUUGAUGCCCUGCUUCCAGGAAAAGCCUCUAAGCUUCAGAUUACAAGUCAUCGUACCCCAAACCGACACAGGUGGUCGGGUAGAGAAUACCAAGGCGCUUGAGAGAACUCGGGUGAAGGAACUAGGCAAAAUAGAACCGUAACUUCGGGAGAAGGUUCGCUCCUGACAGUGAAGUCCCUUGCGGAUGGAGCAGUUGGGAGUCGCAGUGACCAGAUGGCUGGGACUGUUUAUCAAAAACACAGCACUCUGCAAACACGAAAGUGGACGUAUAGGGUGUGACACCUGCCCGGUGCCGGAAGGUUAAUUGAUGGGGUUAGCGCAAGCGAAGCUCUUGAUCGAAGCCCCGGUAAACGGCGGCCGUAACUAUAACGGUCCUAAGGUAGCGAAAUUCCUUGUCGGGUAAGUUCCGACCUGCACGAAUGGUGUAACCAUGGCCAUGCUGUCUCCACCCGAGACUCAGUGAAAUCGAAUUCGCCGUGAAGAUGCGGUGUACCCGCGGCUAGACGGAAAGACCCCGUGAACCUUUACUACAGCUUGGCACUGAACAUUGAACCUACAUGUGUAGGAUAGGUGGGAGGCUUUGAAGGCGUGACGCCAGUUGCGCUGGAGCCGUCCUUGAAAUACCACCCUUGUAUGUUUGAUGUUCUAACGCAGGGCCCUGAAUCGGGCUCGCGGACAGUGCCUGGUGGGUAGUUUGACUGGGGCGGUCUCCUCCCAAAGAGUAACGGAGGAGCACGAAGGUUGGCUAAUCCUGGUCGGACAUCAGGAGGUUAGUGCAAUGGCAUAAGCCAGCUUAACUGCGAGACGGACAGGUCGAGCAGGUACGAAAGUAGGUCAUAGUGAUCCGGUGGUUCUGAAUGGAAGGGCCAUCGCUCAACGGAUAAAAGGUACUCCGGGGAUAACAGGCUGAUACCGCCCAAGAGUUCAUAUCGACGGCGGUGUUUGGCACCUCGAUGUCGGCUCAUCACAUCCUGGGGCUGAAGUCGGUCCCAAGGGUAUGGCUGUUCGCCAUUUAAAGUGGUACGCGAGCUGGGUUCAGAACGUCGUGAGACAGUUCGGUCCCUAUCUGCCGUGGGCGUUGGAUGAUUGAAGGGAGUUGCUCCUAGUACGAGAGGACCGGAGUGAACGAACCUCUGGUGUUCGGGUUGUCACGCCAGUGGCACUGCCCGGUAGCUAAGUUCGGAAUCGAUAACCGCUGAAAGCAUCUAAGCGGGAAGCGAGCCCUGAGAUGAGUCAUCCCUGACCCCUUGAGGGUCCUAAAGGGCCGUUGGAGACCACAACGUUGAUAGGUGGGGUGUGUAAGCGCGGCGACGUGUUGAGCUAACCCAUACUAAUUACCCGUGAGGCUUAACCAUACAACACCCAAGAAGUGUUCU
rnacentral:rRNA from 1 species